GCUUGUCUCAAAGAUUAAGCCAUGCAUAUCUAAGAAUAACUAACAUUAUCUUGAAUCUGUGAAUGGCUCAUUAUAUCAGUUAUAGUUUACAUGAUAGUCAAUACUACUUGGAUAACCGUAGUAAUUCUAGAGCUAAUACAUGCAUAAAGACCCGACUUCUGGAAGGGUUGUAUUUAUUAGAUAAAAAUCAACUUUGUUGGUGAAUCAUAAUAACUUCUCGGACCGCAUGGCCUCGUGCUGGCGGUGCUUCAUUCAAAUAUCUGCCCUAUCAACUGUCGAUGGUAGGAUAGAGGCCUACCAUGGUUGCAACGGGUAACGGGGAAUAAGGGUUCGAUUCCGGAGAGGGAGCCUGAGAAACGGCUACCACAUCCAAGGAAGGCAGCAGG
rnacentral:rRNA from 1 species